CUUAAGGCCUAGGAGAGCUCAGAAGAAGGUUAAAACAAUGGAUCGGUUUCCAGUGCACAUUUGGGUGGUAUUUUUGUUUCUUUCCACGGAAUCUCUGCUUCACAUCUCCGUUUAUUCAGACCACAUACAUGGGAAGAUUGAAGUGGAAAAAGAACACAUGAACAAUUCAUGUGAACAUUAUUUACUCAGGAAAGGAU